AACGAACGCUGGCGGCAUGCCUAACACAUGCAAGUCGAACGAUUGCCUUCGGGUGAUAGUGGCGCACGGGUGCGUAACGCGUGGGAAUCUGCCCUUAGGUUCGGAUUAACAGUUGGAAACGGCGGCUAUUACCGGUGGUUAUCCCGGGAUCAAAGAUUUUUCGCCUGAGGAUGAGCCCGCGUUGGAUUAGGUAGUUGGUGGGGUAAAGGCCUACCAAGCCGACGAUCCAUAGCUGGUCUGAGAGGAUGAUCAGCCACACUGGGACUGAGACACGGCCCAGACUCCUACGGGAGGCAGCAGUGGGGAAUAUUGGACAAUGGGCGCAAGCCUGAUCCAGCAAUGCCGCGUGAGUGAUGAAGGCCCUAGGGUUGUAAAGCUCUUUUACCCGGGAAGAUAAUGACUGUACCGGGAGAAUAAGCCCCGGCUAACUCCGUG
rnacentral:rRNA from 1 species